ACUCAGCGGGCGCUCUGCUGACUGAGAGGCUCGGCAAGCAUGAGAGUGAGAGAGCGAGUGAGCAAAAGAAAUGACUAGUGACCAGUUGAGAAAGUCCUGUCUUCCAUUGAGCCAUUUCACUCCUGCCCAUCUACUCUCAACUGCUCAAGAGCCGCUGAACCCUCUGAACACUGUGAGGAUCAGAUGAGACAACGUGUGUGAAAACACCUUACAAAUACAAAGCUGUGAAGAUGUAAAGGAUGGUUAUUACAGAAUGGAGGUUCUUAACUUGAGAAGGGAAGAGAGA
rnacentral:lncRNA from 10 species